UAUGGGCGGUCCCGGCUUCUGUGGGGCGCUGCCCCGUGGCUCUGACCCCGCGGGGCCAUUGGCCCAGCCCUCCAGCCCCUGAGCUCCAGUAGCCCGCAGCUGCAGGAGCUGUUCGCCCCGGGCGGGCCCUUGCGGACCUUCCUCCAGCGCCAGGCGGGAUCUGAAGCCCAUUUGAAGGUCAGGAGGCCAGAGUUGGUGGCAAGGAUCAAACUGCUGAACGAGAAGGAGCAGGAGCUGCAGGAGACCGAGCCCUUGCUGCACUAUGAGAAUGAAGAUUUAAGGAAACUUGCAGAGAAUGAAAUAACUCUGUGUCAAAAAGAAAUAACUCAGCUGAAGCAUCAGAUUAUCUUACUUUUGGGUCCUUCAGAAGAAACAGAUGAAAAUAAUUUGAUCCUGGCAGUAACUGCAGGAGUUGGAGUUCAGGAGGCAAUGCUGUUUACUUCAGAGAUACUUGAUAUGUAUCAACAAUAUGCUGCAUUAAAGACGGCAUUUCGAAACCCUGGAGUAUUUUCCAAGUGAAAUAGGUGGCCUUAGACAUGCAUCUGCCAGCAUUGGGGGUUCAGAAGCCUAUGGGCACAUGAAAUUUGAAGGAGGUGUGCACAGAGUACAAAGAGUGCCAAAGACAGAAAAGCAAGGCCGCAUCCAUACUAGCACCAUGACUAGCGAUAUUACCCCAGCCUACUGAGAUUAAUCUCGUGAUUAAUCCAAAAGAUUUGAGAAUUGACACUAAGCGAGCCAGUGGAGCUGGGGGGCAGCAUGUAAAUACCACAGCCAGUGCUGUCCGGAUAGUUCGUCUUCCAACAGGUGUUGUUUCUGAAUGUCAACAAGAGAGAUCUCAACUGAAAAAUAGAGAGCUGGCUAUGACAAAGUUAUGUGCAAAACUGUAUAGCAUGCAUCUAGAAAAAGAAACAAAUAAAAGAUAGAAUGCUAGAAAAAUUCAGAUUGGAAGUAAAGGAAGAUCAGAGAAAAUAAGAACAUAGAAUUUUCCACAGAACAGGGUCACAGAUCACAGAAUAAGCAAGACACUGCAUGAUCUUGAAACUUUUAUGCAAGGAGAUUAUCUACUGGAUGAACUUGUACAGUCAUUGAAGGAAUACGCCGAUUAUGAAUCUUUAGUAGAAAUUAUUUCCCAAAAAGUUUAAGUUGAUUUGUUAUUUAUAGACUUUUGUAGCUUAGAAAAAUUCUACAGCACAUCCACAUAGGGUGAAAAUACCCUUAUUCUCUUAAAAAACAUGAGUUAACACAGUUGGAGGUAAUAUGCGUAUUUUGAAGUCAUAGAUAAUUUACACAGAUCUCUCUCAAUGCAUUAGCAAAAAUCAUACAAUAUACAGAUGAUCCUCGAUUUACAUUGUGGUUAAUUCCCAGUAAACCCAUCAUAAGUUAAA